rnacentral:misc_RNA from 1 species
AACGCACCUUGCACCCUUUGGUAUUCCGAAGGGUACGCCCGUUUGAGCAUCAUUGUAUUCUCACCCCCAUGACUUUGUUGUGGAUGGUGGACUUGGACGUCCUGCCGCCUUACCAUGGCUCGUCCCAAAUGUAGGAGUGUGACCCCCCUUGUUUGCGGUGUCAUCCGGUGUGAUAAGCAUCUUCACUGGAGUAUCUCGGGUGGACAGUGUCUGUCUGAGAGCAUCGUUGAGGCGUGGUAAUGCUGCCAACCGUCUUGUAAUGAGACAAACCUUGACUAUUUGAUCUCAAAUCGGGUGGGACUACCCGCUGAACUUAA